AGGACGCUUGCCAUGCAUUCCCAACUUGCAUCCGAAGUUUACUUCCCAGAACUCGGCGAACCAAGCGUUCCGUCGGUUGUUGGACAAAGAGCGACUUUUGAAAUAUCUGUCAAAGGCUGAAAAACAGUGAACACAGCAUUGGGACGGUACAUUACUAUGCUCUUUUUGGAAGGAUGGUUAUAGCGCCUUCUGCCACACUUUCUUGCUGAACGACAGGAGAUAUCUUUGAGCCCCAGCUGUCUGAUCCCACCCACAAGAAGUGACCUGUUUGGUUGUUGCGCUUCGCAGCAUCCAGGACACGUCUGAAAGACCAUCAAACAAAACAUGGACCUCUAACAUUGCUGUCAAGACAACCGACUCUGUUUUUCAUGAAAGAUUUUACUCUAUCAAACUCUGACAGAAGCUGAAGUGGAAAGAAAAGGUGCAAAGGCAAUUCAGCUAGAAGCAUGGAGAAGAGGAUUAAACCACUACGUCCUCCAAUUAAACCUCUAUGGUUGGAAAGAAGCAAAAGUUGAGCGUUUAUAGUGGCCGAUUUCCCACAGGCUCUAUAAUAUCCGCUGUGCAAAAGAGUUUAAAAAAGAGCAAAUCCUGUAAUUGUUUACGUUAAUGUCAGGAGUCUUAAUGCUGUUCCUAACAACUGCAACGUUUUAAAGCACAUUACUGCAUGAAGUCAAUGUUUGGCAUUUGCUUCAAGCUUUCGUGACUUGACUUAGGUUGUAUAAUUAUAGAAAUUGUGAGUCAGUCUAAAACAACCAAUCGUUGGGUUACGGUCAUAGUGCCAUGACUAUUUUUGUCAGCAAAUGUCAGAUUAAUAAAAAACUUGUGCAUUUUUCCAUGUUAAUAUAUUUUCA